rnacentral:rRNA from 1 species
UACAGAGGUCUCAAGCGUUGUUCGGAUUCACUGGGCGUAAAGGGUGCGUAGGCGGCGGCGUAAGUCGGAUGUGAAAUCCCGGGGCUCAACCCCGGAACUGCAUCCGAUACUGCGCCGCUAGAGGACUUAAGAGGAGACUGGAAUUCACGGUGUAGCAGUGAAAUGCGUAGAGAUCGUGAGGAAGGCCGGUGGCGAAAGCGAGUCUCUGGGAAGUUCCUGACGCUGAGGCACGAAGGCCAGGGGAGCAAACGGG